rnacentral:rRNA from 1 species
GGAACAUCAGUGGCGAAGGGCGGCCAUCUGGACCAAUACUGACGCUGUAGGUGCGAAAGCGUGGGGUAGCAAACAGGAUUAGAUACCCUGGUAGUCCACGCCGUAAACGAUGAGAACUAGCCGUUGGACAUCUUGCAUGUUUAGUGGCGCAGCUAACGCGAUAAGUUCUCCGCCUGGGGAGUACGGCCGCAAGGUUAAAACUCAAAUGAAUUGACGGGGGCCCGCACAAGCGGUGGAGCAUGUGGUUUAAUUCGACGCAACGCGAAGAACCUUACCUACACUUGACAUCCUCGGAACUUUCUAGAGAUAGAUUGGUGCCUUCGGGAACCGAGUGACAGGUGCUGCAUGGCUGUCGUCAGCUCGUGUCGUGAGAUGUUGGGUUAAGUCCCGUAACGAGCGCAACCCUUAUCCUUAUUUGCCAGCGGUUCGGCCGGGAACUCUAAGGAGACUGCCGAUGACAAAUCGGAGGAAGGUGGGGACGACGUCAAGUCAUCAUGGCCCUUACGUGUAGGGCUACACACGUGCUACAAUGGUCGGUACAAACGGUUGCGAACCCGCAAGGGGAAGCCAAUCCGAGAAAGCCGAUCGUAGUCCGGAUUGGGGUCUGCAACUCGACCCCAUGAAGUCGGAAUCGCUAGUAAUCGUGAAUCAGAAUGUCACGGUGAAUACGUUCCCGGGCCUUGUACACACCGCCCGUCACACCAUGGGAGUGGGUUGCACCAGAAGUGGCUAGUCUAACUUCGGAGGACGGUCACCCACGGUGUGAUUCAUGACUGGGGUGAAGUCGUAACAAGGUAACCGUAGGGGAACCUGCGGUUG